rnacentral:rRNA from 1 species
CACGGAGUUAGCCGAUGCUUAUUCAUACGGUACAUGCAGGGAGUCACACGUGACUCUUGUUAUUCCCGUAUAAAAGAAGUUUACAAUCCAUAAGACAGUCAUCCUUCACGCGACUUGGCUGGUUCAGGCUCUCGCCCAUUGACCAAUAUUCCUCACUGCUACCUCCCGUAGGAGUCUGGUCCGUGUCUCAGUACCAGUGUGGGGGAUAAACCUCUCAGUUCCCCUACCCAUCGUUGCCUUGGUGAGCCGUUACCCACCAACAAGCUAAUGGGACGCAUGCCUAUCCUAUACCGAAUUUCUUUCCUCACUUCUUGAUGCCAAGCUGUGAGCAUACGCAGUAUUAGUCCGUCUUUCGACGGGUUAUCCUCCUGUAUAGGGCAAGUUGCAUACGCGUUACGCACCCGUGCGCCGGUCGCCACCCAGAUAGCAAGCUACCUUGUGCUCGCCCCUCGACUUGCAUGUGUUAAGCCUAUCGCUAGCGUUCAU